UCUGCCACCCUCACCCAUCGAAAUCCCUCAGCCGCUCACUCCACUCAACCCCUCAGCCGCUCUCUGCCUCAUAGCCUCGGCAUCUCCCCUCCCCGGCUAAUCCCUGUGCGUCUCCGACUUUAUGCCUCAGGCAAGUUUGGUUGAAGGAACUGAUAGACAGCGGUCGAAGAGAUGUGGGUCCGGGCCACCAUCCGCGCCGGUGACUUCUUUUUCUGGCGGUGUUAAGACGGUCAAAUUCUUGGCGGUGGAAGCGUCGGGCAUCCGGGCGGCCUUCUACCAAGCGAGGUUUUCAAAGAUUAAAUAAGCUGUAGCUACCAUUUCUUGAAGUAAGCACAAAUUAGUAGUAGAUUUAAAGCUGUAAAUUCAGGUAUGCUCAGAACUGUACUCAUAUUUGCAUCUAUAUGAUUCUUCAUCCUGAAGCCAAUGGUUACUCAUAUCCAUUGUGUUGGAAAUUAAACAGUUGCAUCUAUUUCAAUA